rnacentral:lncRNA from 1 species
UUGGGGCCUGUGAAUAGCAUGCAGCCACAUCCAGAAUGUGCAUCCAGAAAGGGCAUCUUUGGACACCUAUGCAGAGGCUGGCCUCUGUCCUCAAGGAGCUUGCAGUCUGGUAGAGAAGUUGAGAACUGUCCAUGCAGAGUACCAACUAUACAAGGCAGCCUGUGACCAGAGUUCUGAAGCCUGGGAAAUUGAAGAUUGGAUAGCUGCAUCUGGGAGUCCUUCUUGCUGGUGGGGUCUCUCUGUAGAGUUCUAAGGUAGUGUAUCAUACAUCAAGACAGAGCAGAUGCCCACCAGCCGCCAGCGUAACUGCGCAGGCUGAGCAGUCCCAGGCUGACUGGAGCCCUGCUCCGUCCGGUUCACCAUGACCACCUGCAACGAGGAGACGGUGAAGACCCCCUGGGCACACUGACCAGCCACCAGUGUAGCCAGGCUGGUGCCUGCAACACGCCUCCCCAC